UAUGACAGAUGCCACUGUGACCUUCUCCAAGGACUUUCUGGCAGGUGGCGUGGCUGCGGCCAUAUCCAAGAACACAGCAGUGCCCAUCAAGUGGGUCAAGCUGCUGCUGCAAGUGCAGCAUGCCAGCAAGCAGAUCACCGCAGAUAAGCUAUGCAAGGACUAGACAGACUCUGUGGUUCAUACCCCCAAGGAGCAGGGAGUCCUGUCCUUCUGCCACGGUAACCUGGCCAGUGUCAUCAGAUACUUACCCACCUAGGCUGUCAACUUUGCCCAAGGUAAACAGAAGCAGAUCUUCUGAGGUGGGGUGGACGAGAGGCCCCAGUUGUGGUGCUACAUUGCAGGCAAUCUGGCCCCCAGUGAUGCCACUGGGCCACAUCCUUGUGUAUGGUGUACCCUCUUGAUUUUCGCAGCUACUUGACUUUGUACCUGUCUAGCAGCUAAUGUGGGUAAAGCUAGAGCUGAAAGGGAAUCUAGAAGCCUCAGUAACUGCCUGGUUAAGAUCUACAAAUCCGAUGGAAUUAAGAGACUGAACCAAGGCUUUAACGUGUCAGUGUGGGGUAUUAUCAUCUACCAAGCUCCCUACUUUGGUAUCCGUGACACUGCAAAAGGCAUUUUUCCAGAUCCCAAGAAUGCUAACAUCUUCAUCAGCUGAUGAUCGCACAAUCUGUCACUGGCAUUGCUGGGAUAAAAAGUCAUUCCUAUCCAUUUGAUACUGUUUGCCACCACAAGAUGACAGGGUCAGGGUUCAAAGGAACUGAUAUUCUGCACACAGGCAUCCCUGACUGCUGGAGGAAAAUUGCUCAUGAUGAAGGAGACAAAGCUUUUCUCAAAGGUGCAUGAUCCAGCAUUCUCAGAGGCAUGGGUGGUGUUUCUAUGCUUUUCUUAUAUGAUAAAAUAAAGAAGUACACAU
rnacentral:lncRNA from 1 species